UUUUCUGGGUCUCCUUAUGAGCUCCCGCCCGUCGCCCAACCACUAAUACGCCCGCGUCAUCGUUGUUCUCCGGUUCGUUCCCUCCCUGCCGUACUGGUGCUGACGCCUAGACGAGGCGGCGAUCGGACGAUGGAGCGGCGGCCGGCUAGGGGGGUGGCAGGAGGUCGCGGGGCGGGGGAGGAGGUACCGCACUAGGCUACUAUCGUUGCUCUCGCGCGGAAGGGGACGAGAGGGACUGCCGCAGCCGCGCGCCGCCCGCGUGGUUCGCCGCCUCCUCCUUUCCCUCGCCGCCGGCGGUACAGGGGGUUGGACCUCCCGUGCGAGUUCUCGGUCCACGGCCGCGACGAGGAGGCCGCGGAGAAGCCGCGGCCCCGCGCGGCCCUACUCCGCCGCCGGUGAGUCGUGGUGGUGGCGGUCCGCGGCGCCGGCAGCGGGAGCGGCGGAGGCCGUCCCUCCGCCGCCCACAAGCACGUCUGCCUCAGGCCCACGCACGACCCGUACCUGGACCUGGCGCCGCUGUUGCGCGUGUGGCAGUUCGCGGCCGACGUCGAGCGGGAGUUGCACGGGUGGCCGCCCUGGAGCGAGUGGAAGCCGCUGGCGCAGGACCUCUUGCUGGAGAGGAGGCAGGCGGUGCUGAGCGGCGACGACGAGUGGGCGUUGUCGUAGGUGGCGUCGACGAGGUGGGGCACGGAGACGGGCCAGAGGCUCCUGAAGCUCGUCUUCCUGACGUCGCCGGACCACCUCUAUGAGCCCAGCAGCUCGCCGUCGCACUCCGCGGAGCAGCUGCUGCACCGGUGGCCGUAUUACUCGCCCGACCUAGGCCAGGGGUAACUGUCACCGGAACCGCCGAGGAUGAUGAAGUCCUUACUACUCCCGCUGUCUCAGCGGUAACAGUUCGGGUGUCUACUCCUCGGGAAGCGGGGCUUGUUGGGCUUUCCCAAGUGGCCCUCUCGCGAACCGGUCGGCCCUGACUUCUUCAGGCAAGCCCAUCCCCUCUGUCCCAAGUCCCUCCAGCGCCGCAUGGACAACCUGGUACUCUUAAAGCGUUUACAAGGACGUUGCCGAGACCACUUCUAUUGUGUGAGUCAAAAGUUAUAGUUGGCAGGCUACUUACCGCCGUGAGGCCGAGUACUGGUAUUCGGCGUCCAGUGGUCAUUCUAACGAAGUAAAGUCGUCAAGUAGCGAGUACUGAAACUACGGUCACUGGUGCCGUGAAGUUCGAAGGGCCAACGACGACAAGUGUCCUAGCCGUAUAAUCUGUAGUCCUAAAAGUUGUGACUGUCCGUACCGCCAUUACAGGACCACUCCUUCGAACUACCUCCGUGGCCAGCGAAACCAACGGUCUGUCUCGACAAGGGUUAACUAGUACCCGACACGAACGGCCUCUUGAACCUCCUGGGAAUAAAGCUCACCUAUGUGACCCGUGUUCGUAGUUAAGGCAAGAGGCUCCUUCUCGAGCUCAUGUAAUCGUUUGAACUAGGCUACUCCCUACGACGUUACGACGCGCCUCUUGACGGCUACUAUGCGCUCCGAACGGAGGCUCACGAAUAAGAUACGUGUUAGAAGGAGUUCCUCCGACGACGAAAGCCCGAAACGAACCGUCUCUAUCCACUCUACUACUGGUCCCUUAAGUCUCCUUACCUCCUCCUUGGGUCGUUUGACCUCCAACACACGUACCUUCGGUCCUUCUUUCAUCUGCUUACCCUUGGCAAGAGGGGAUCACAACUUGUUCCUCUCCUGUACCUAAAGGUCAAGAGCUACCUACACAAUCCUCCCAUGUCACUACACUAAGCUAGCGGUUCUAAGUUAACGAACCCGAACUUCCCGUCGAAGUCUUUGGGAGACUGUUUCGAGCACCUCUCGCACUUGCUCCUGCCACUACUACUUCUUCUAGCUUUCCUCGGAAGGUGCGUAAGUAGACUAGCCAAGAGUAGACGACUGAAGUCGUGUGGUUCAGAAGUGUCUUGGUGGUCAAGUUUUUGAUCAAGUUUGUCGUCGCACGUGCGGGGCUUGUCCUCGCGUCUGCUCGUCGAGGGUAGCUCGAACACGAAACAGUCCAACAGCCUGUACUCACGUCUCCUCACCGUGCAGAAGUAGCUCUUCAAGGUCCUCGACGACUUUCUUCGCGACCUCCUUACGUUCCGCCGGCGCCCCGUCGCCUACUUCGUUGCCGACCCGUGGAGGACGUUUAAAACUGAUCCAGGUAUCUCGUCGUCUCUUCUUUAUUACAUGACAACGGGCACAACGAAAACCUCGAUCACGUCGUUUCUAGUAUAGAUCAUGAUGAAGCCGGCUACAACGUCAAAUUGACGGAGUUCAAUACAAGUAGUCCAUCUGCUCUGGUUUCCGACCACUACCCACACCUCUUGGUGAUGCGUGCAAAUGUCAAUACAAUUAAUUUUGUCUCAAAACGUAUUAUUUACGAACCGUCGAACACAUAUAACACAAUCUACGAUGUGUGGUUCUCACGAUAAGCAACCGACAACGACUUGUAAGAAACACAACACGACACUCGUCACAUUUAUACUUUGAGACUACAUUUUACGAAUGGACCACAACUUGUAGAACCUACUUUAGACAGAACGCUACCAAGACUA
rnacentral:rRNA from 1 species